CUACACACGUGCUACAAUGGGCGGUACAAAGGGUCGCGAACCCGCGAGGGGGAGGCCAAUCCCAAAAGACCGCUCUCAGUUCGGAUUGCAGGCUGCAACUCGCCUGCAUGAAGCCGGAAUCGCUAGUAAUCGCGGAUCAGCAUGCCGCGGUGAAUACGUUCCCGGGCCUU
rnacentral:rRNA from 1 species